AAAUCAACCCAAUUUCGGUUUGACGUGGAGGAAAGAACCAACCCCAUUGGAUGAUUUUAAUUGCUGACGUGGACACCCUAGCUAUUGAUCUUAUUCCCCUUUUACUUAUUGUAAAUGAUAAAGUACUUUCACAUGUUUCAUUAACUAAUUGACCUAAUAUGUUUUCCAUAACUAUUCAUUAAAAGUGUAAACAAUAUUAAUCACUUUAACUUUUAACAUAUCAGAGGUACGUAGAAUGUGAAAAAUCACUUUGCAUAUAAUAAUAUAGAGAUGUGAUGGAUAUUUAAAAAUUAAAAAAACUAAUGUAUGAUAUAGUAGUAACAUAUAAAUCAAUUUUGAAAGAGGCCACAUGCAUGUUUUCAUAUAUACACUAGAUUAAAAAUUUAGAGGAAAUUCUAACUUUACCUUGAUACUACUUUUCAAAUUUACAUUUAAAUGAUAAUCAUUUUAAUAAAUAACUUAUGUUUAUUAUGAAAAUAAAACAAAAUUAACUCUCAUAAAUCAUUUAUAAAUGUUUUAAGAAAUUUAAUAAAAUUUUAUAAACU
rnacentral:lncRNA from 1 species